rnacentral:rRNA from 1 species
GACGAACGCUGGCGGCGUGCUUAACACAUGCAAGUCGAGUGGAGCGGCGAACGGGUGAGUAACGCGUGAGUAACUGCCCCCCUAUCUGGGAUAACAGUUGGAAACGGCUGCUAAUACCGGAUAGUGGGGGCUGACUCGCGUCCUAUCAGCUUGUUGGUGGGGUAGUGGCCUACCACGGCGACGAGGGGAAGCCGGCCUGAGAGGGCGACCGGCCACAUUGGGCUGGGAUACGGCCCAAACUCCUACGGGAGGCAGCAGUGGGGAAUAUUGCACAAUGGGGGAAACCCUGAUGCAGCAACGCGCGUGCGGGAUGACGGCUAUCGGGUUGUAAACCUCCUUCACGCCCGCUUGGGUAGGUGGAGAAGAAGCGCCGGCUAACUACGUGCCAGCAGCCGCGGUAAUAC